rfam:Lactobacillus lindneri DSM 20690 = JCM 11027 strain DSM 20690 NODE_49, whole genome shotgun sequence.
UGCCCGUUGGUCAAAUUGGUUUAAGACGUCGCCCUCUCAAGGCGGAGUUACGAGUUCGAGUCUCGUACGGGUAA